rnacentral:rRNA from 1 species
UAGGGAAUCUUCCACAAUGGACGCAAGUCUGAUGGAGCAACGCCGCGUGAGUGAAGAAGGUUUUCGGAUCGUAAAGCUCUGUUGUUGGUGAAGAAGGAUAGAGGUAGUAACUGGCCUUUAUUAGACGGUAAUCAACCAGAAAGUCACGGCUAACUACGUGCCAGCAGCCGCGGUAAUACGUAGGUGGCAAGCGUUGUCCGGAUUUAUUGGGCGUAAAGCGAGCGCAGGCGGAAGAAUAAGUCUGAUGUGAAAGCCCUCGGCUUAACCGAGGAACUGCAUCGGAAACUGUUUUUCUUGAGUGCAGAAGAGGAGAGUGGAAUUCCAUGUGUAGCGGUGGAAUGCGUAGAUAUAUGGAAGAACACCAGUGGCGAAGGCGACUCUCUGGUCUGCAACUGACGCUGAGGCUCGAAAGCAUGGGUAGCGAACAGG